rnacentral:rRNA from 1 species
AUGGAGCUCUCGCCACCGCCGCUCAUCUCCACGCUCAACGGCUCAGCGGCCGCGGCCGCGAUGGGCGUCAACUUCGGCGGCGAGGAGGGCGAGAGCGGCGGAGCCGGCGUGUUCCGCAUGGGCGCCGUCGGGCAGCAGCUGCGGCUGGCCGCCGAGACGCUGCAGCUGCUGCGCCUCGAGGCCGCCACGCCGGGCGAGGCGUCCGCGGCCGUGGCCGGCGCCGUCUUCGUGGUGUCCUUCGGCGCCGACGCGUACGCGCGGCUGCUCGCGCGCGGGUCCGAGGCGGACGCGUCGGCGCCCAAGCACGGCCGCCGCGGCUUCGCCCGCCUCCUGGCCGGCCGCGUGGCGCGCGCGGUGCAGGAGCUGUACGAGGCGGACGUGAGGAGGGUGGCGGUGCUGGGGGUGCCGCCGCUGGGGUGCGCGCCGCGGGUGAUGUGGGACGGGCUGCACCUCGUGGACGGCCGCGGGUGCGUGGAGGAGGCCAACGAGCUCGUCCAGGGGUACAACGCCAGGGUGGAGGCGCAGCUGGACGCGCUCCGACCGGAGCUGCCCGGCGCCGACAUCGUCUUCUGCGACGUCUACAAGGGGGUCAUGGAGAUGAUCACCAAUCCCGCCGCCUAUGGGUUUGAGGAGGCGAGGGACGCGUGCUGCGGGCUGGGCCCGUUCGGCGGCACCAUCGGGUGCCUGACGAGGGAGAUGGCGUGCCCCACACCGCAGGGACACGUCUGGUGGGACCUGUACAGCGUCACCGAGACUGUGAACACACUGCUCGCGGACUGGGCCUGGUCGGUGCCGCCGUCGCCGGACUCCAACACGAGCGUCUCCCGCCCCAUUACCCUGCAGCAGCUUGCCGGCCAAGCUGAUGCGCCGCCACCACCGGUGAUGGUGUAG